rnacentral:tRNA from 1 species
GGACUGUGGCUCAGUAGUAGAGCGCUCGCCUCGAACAUGCGAGGCCCUGGGUUCGAUCCUCAGCACCA